CUGGAUUGAAAUAAAAUUGUUGAUUGUAUCAAAUCAUAAUCAUCGUUGAUUAUAGUACCCGAUUAAUUAUGACAAGCGACGGCAGACAUUUAUAUAAAAAAAAAAGAAGAAAUUGUGUAUUUGUGAUUCAUUUCACUCGUUUGUUUAUCGAUAAGGCAAACGUCGGGCAAACCCACGAUAAAAAAAAAAUUUGAAAUUGUUCCUUUCAAAACUAUAUUAUUAUACUAAUAAUUAUUUAGUUGUCCGAUUCCCA